GGCGCCGGGGCGAACUGGCGGGGAGUGAUGUGCGCGCGCGCCGGGUGCCGGUGCUCGAGCUGCGGCUGGCGCUCGGUGCCGGGAGGACUGGUGCUGUGAAGCGGGUAGCGGAGCAGUGUUUCCCGCUGAGCGGACUCAGACACAUCUGCUCGCUCGGGGGCCGACGUCCUGCGGAGCUCCGCCGCGCUGCUCGCUGCGUUUCUUCUCCUGGUGGCGGCGCUCUCACCACCACGGACAUAGUGCGUCAGUGACCGCAGCGCCUCUGGUGGCGAGCACCUGAACCCGAGUGUCAGUCACCGGACUGCAGGUGACGCUGUUGGGACGCAGUGGGUGUGGUCGGGUUCUCGAAUGGUCAGAUCAGCUGUUCGGAGCCGCCAUUCGUUUUGAGGAGGCGCCAUUCGUUUGAGGAGGCGCCGAUUUUGUGUUGAUGCAUAUUCUGCCUGUCGCUGCCAAACAGUCGAAACCAUGCUAUUUCGUUGGGUGGAAUAAACCCUUUGGUCGAGCAUGCGUGUGACUCAAGGCAGAAACAGUUACGGGAAAUUUGGAGGUCGCCCGCCGCGACAUGGAGCGGGCCCGCCGGAGAAAUAAGGAAAUAAUUCAACGGCUUCGGAAAAUCAUCUACACAUUACAUUCCCCAAACUACGCCCGGCCAGAAUGGCUUGAUGGGGAGGUCGAGUGGGCUCUUCUGGAGCUCUCUUGAGCCCAGCUCAGAUACAUCGGCGAAGUCGUUUGUCUGAAGACCCCCGUGCCUCGUUUGUCAUAGUUGAGUUUUGUCAUGGUUGACUUGAAAUACAUAUUUACGAAAUUUCCCACCUG